AAGUCGUAACAAGGUAACCGUAGGUGAACCUGCGGUUGGAUCAUUAAAAAGAUCUAGCCUGAAUUUGAUGCUUGCACUUAUUCAGGUUACUCACCAACGUGAGUAAACAUCAUGUGAACUGUUUUGUCUCUGGCGGUGGGAUAGAAAGCGGGCAGCAUGUAUGUGCUGCUUUCAUCUAUCUGUCAGCUCGGGCAACCGGGCCGUGGACAAGCCGCCAACCACUUGCUUGAACCAAACUUGCUUUUUUUAUUGUCUGACAUUUUAUUUGUAUGAAAUAUACAAACAACUUUUGGCAACGGAUCUCUUGGCUCUC
rnacentral:misc_RNA from 1 species